rnacentral:rRNA from 1 species
GAUGAACGCUGGCGGCGUGCCUAAUACAUGCAAGUCGAGCGAACGGACGAGAAGCUUGCUUCUCUGAUGUUAGCGGCGGACGGGUGAGUAACACGUGGAUAACCUACCUAUAAGACUGGGAUAACUUCGGGAAACCGGAGCUAAUACCGGAUAAUAUUUUGAACCGCAUGGUUCAAAAGUGAAAGACGGUCUUGCUGUCACUUAUAGAUGGAUCCGCGCUGCAUUAGCUAGUUGGUAAGGUAACGGCUUACCAAGGCAACGAUGCAUAGCCGACCUGAGAGGGUGAUCGGCCACACUGGAACUGAGACACGGUCCAGACUCCUACGGGAGGCAGCAGUAGGGAAUCUUACGCAAUGGGCGAAAGCCUGACGGAGCAACGCCGCGUGAGUGAUGAAGGUCUUCGGAUCGUAAAACUCUGUUAUUAGGGAAGAACAUAUGUGUAAGUAACUGUGCACAUCUUGACGGUACCGAAGCAGAAAGCCACGGCUAACUACGU